AUCGAGUGCUGUGGAGGGCUUUUGGGGCUGUAACGUGACGUGGGGCACUGCCAGCGCGACGUGGGGGCGUAUCGAGGAACGCGAAAGCCCAGAGGCAAGGAGGAGACUUGCUGUUCUCUGCUAACUGCUUUUAUCCAUGUGUCUUUAAACCACUGUGUGCCCUGGAUAUGUUGGCCACGCAGGCAGAGGAGUUUUUCUGAGCGUGCCAGGGGGGCACAUCCAGCCUGCCGCCCUUUUGUGCGGAGCCAGAUGCUGAAGAAAAACAGAAGGAAGUUGCAAUUGCUGCAAUACUCUUUUGUCCUUGCUGGAGGCCUUCAGGGAAAAAUCAGGGGAAGGGAAUUCCCAGCUUGGCACUAGCUUCUUUACUGAAGACAAAACUGAUACUUCUAGAAGGAUUGUUUUAUUCUUCUUUUACUACAUGGAUAAGAUGUUUGUAAUGCAGGGGUUUUUAUGGUCAGUUUGAACAUCCCUACUGCUGGACUUCCUACAGUUCUUCCUUAAAACUGUGUGUGUGUUUUCAGAUGAAUCUGGAGCAGGAGAGAAGUCUCAGAUUAACUUCUGAAAAAUGUGAUGAAAAAUCAGUGGCUGAACAGGGAAGAAAUACUCCGGUUAGUGCCCUCGUCGGGCAGGAAACACACAGAUCUGCUUGGAUGAUGAGGAAGAUGAAGUGUUCCUGGGAACUCUUCAGGCRAGGCGGCAGCAAGGGAGAGAAAGCAGCUGGUGAAAAUGCAAGGAUGCUUCCCAAAACCACUCGGGAGGAAGGAAACAAGCAGGAAGCAAAGAAGAGAGGGAAACUGAAAAAUGUGGCAGGCAAAUUGCUAAAGGCUAUUGCUAGUGGGAAAGAAGCAGAAGAAAAGAAGCCUGAAAAUGAGAAUUUGGCAGGGAAUUUGCUGAAGAUUGCAACAUGUAGGAAGGAAGUAGAAGGAAAGAAGUCUGCAGAGGAAACCAUCUGUGGAUUCAUUGAGCAAGGGAAAUUUUUUCAAGCCUGUAAACAUAUUUAUAAUCUGGAGCAUUCUGGAAGUGAUGGUAUGGGAAAGUCUGAAUCCCUUUAUAAACUACUGGCUGAACGGAUGUGGUCCAUCGUGGGAAAAGCAUUCAGUGGAAGCGACAGGAUGUUACUGGAGCCGUUGCAGUCAGUGGGCGAAUCACUGAAGUGGGAGAAGCAGAAGAAAGAGGAGUGGUUUGGUAGAAGACAAGGGCUGGAGACUCUUUCCACCUGGAGUCCAAGAUUCUGGAAGAAAGACCUAGAGAAAAAGCUAAUAAAGUACAUGACAGUCCAGAUUCCUCCCUUUGGUUCCACUAGUAACACAGACGAGACUGCAUUAAAACAGCAUCUGAGUCAACUGGAAAUGACAUUUCUGCCCAGCCUGGAGCGCAAAAGUGGUUUCUUCGAGGAAGCAGGCCUGCUUGUCAUGUAUGCCCGGUGCUUUCAUGCCUGCUUGUCUUCUCAUCUUUCCACCCUUACCGACAAUAACCAUGUUAGCUUCAGCCAAUGUCUUUUAGUUUAUGAAUGGUGUCUUAACAUGUACAAAAGUGGCAACAGGACAUUGCUGGGACCCAGCCAGACCCCACACCACCGCCUUUCCCUUGACGCACAGUGCCUCAUGCGGAUUAUUUUGAAGACAGAGGAAAAGUUACUUGCAAUCACCCAGAAGGAGGUAGGGGAAGCCCUGAAAGAAGCCUUUGACAUUGGGAAACCCCCUUGUGCCAGUGCUGCAGUCAUUCAGGUAUUAACAGAGAAGACAGAGGCUGCCCAGCGCAUCAGUGAGAGCCUGAGGGAGCGAGUGGGAGCUGUGUGCCUGGAGGAGUGCCUGAGCUUCCUCGAGAGCUAUGGAAAUGAAAUAAGAAGCUUUCUCCAGCUCCAUGGCGGCCUUGGGGUCUGCAGCAGCCUACAAAUCCUCGAGAACUGCUACAUUCUCAGAGCUGCCUGGCAUAAGCUAACGUAUGUUUGCAGUGCCAGCACUGGUCAGGAUGUUAAGGUAAAAGGAUUUCUAGACCAGAUAGAGGAUGAGACUGUAGAACAUCUUCUGCAGAUAAUCACUUCUAAAGUCAAGAGAACACUGAAGGAUCACUUCAAAAAAUGUGACAGUGGUUUAGGUCACAUCCUAGAAUCCUUAAAGCAAAGCUUUUUGGCAUUUGAAAGGAAAAAUACAGGCAUAUAUGAGAUUCUUGUUAAGGCUGUCAACGUCACCAUUAUUACAGAAUAUGUGCGGGCCCUCCUGACCAUUUCCAGGAAACCAUCUUCUAGGCAGAGGAGGAGGAUUGUCAGCAAAAUAGAAGAAGAUCAUAGGAUGCUGCAAACCAUCUUUAAAGAGUGCUUAGGUCCUAAAGAAGGUUCCCUCAAGGAUCCAAUAAAAGCAAUUCUAGGACUUAUUCAAACUUCUGAUGCUGAGGGAAUGAAAAUAGCCCUUCUGCCCAUUCUCAGAGAAUUUCCUGAUCUAAGGUGGCCAAAGGGUGUUGAAAAGCAGUUCGACAGCUUCCAGACUUUGGUUUGGCCCAGCAAAACUGGGUCCUAG
rnacentral:lncRNA from 1 species